rnacentral:rRNA from 1 species
GACGAACGCUGGCGGCGUGCUUAACACAUGCAAGUCGAGCGGUAAGGCCCUUUCGGGGGUACGACGAGCGGCGAACGGGUGAGUAACACGUGGGUGACCUGCCCUCAGCUCUGGGAUAAGCCUGGGAAACCGGGUACUAAUACUGGAUAUGACUCCAUGACGCAUGUUGUGGGGUGGAAAGCCUUGUGCGGCUGAGGAUGGGCCCGCGGCCUAUCAGCUUGUUGGUGGGGUGAGGCC